rnacentral:rRNA from 1 species
UACGUAGGGUGCAAGCGUUAAUCGGAAUUACUGGGCGUAAAGCGUGCGCAGGCGGUGUUGUAAGUCAGUUGUGAAAUCCCCGGGCUCAACCUGGGAACUGCAUCUGUGACUGCAUCGCUGGAGUGCGGCAGAGGGGGAUGGAAUUCCGCGUGUAGCAGUGAAAUGCGUAGAUAUGCGGAGGAACACCGAUGGCGAAGGCAAUCCCCUGGGCCUGCACUGACGCUCAUGCACGAAAGCGUGGGGAGCAAACAGG